rnacentral:rRNA from 1 species
GACGAACGCUGGCGGCGUGCUUAACACAUGCGAGUCGAACGGAAAGGCCCUGCUUUUGUGGGGUGCUCGAGUGGCGAACGGGUGAGUAACACGUGAGUAACCUGCCCUUGACUUUGGGAUAACUUCAGGAAACUGGGGCUAAUACCGGAUAGGAGCUCCUGCUGCAUGGUGGGGGUUGGAAAGUUUCGGCGGUUGGGGAUGGACUCGCGGCUUAUCCGCUUGUUGGUGGGGUAGUGGCUUACCAAGGCUUUGACGGGUAGCCGGCCUGAGAGGGUGACCGGCGUCAUUGGGACUGCGAUACGGCCCAGACUCCUACGGGAGGCAGCAGUGGGAAAUAUUGCACAAUGGGCGGAAGCCUGAUGCAGCAACGCCGCGUGCGGGAUGACGGCCUUCGGGUUGUAAACCGCUUUCGCCUGUGACGAAGCGUGAGUGACGGUAAUGGGUAAAGAAGCACCGGCUAACUACGUG